rnacentral:rRNA from 1 species
GAUCCUGGCUCAGGACGAGCGCUGGCGGCGCGCCUAACACAUGCAAGUCGAACGAGCGAGAGAGAGUUUACUUUUUCGAGCGAGUGGCGAACGGGUGAGUAACGCGUGAGGAACCUGCCUCAAAGAGGGGGACAACAGUUGGAAACGACUGCUAAUACCGCAUAAGCCCACGGCUCGGCAUCGAGCAGAGGGAAAAGGAGCAAUCCGCUUUGAGAUGGCCUCGCGUCCGAUUAGCUGGUUGG